rnacentral:rRNA from 1 species
GACGAACGCUGGCGGCGUGCCUAAUACAUGCAAGUCGAGCGCAGGAAAUCGACGGAACCCUUCGGGGGGAAGUCGACGGAAUGAGCGGCGGACGGGUGAGUAACACGUAAAGAACCUGCCCUCAGGUCUGGGAUAACCACGAGAAAUCGGGGCUAAUACCGGAUGGGUCAUCGGACCGCAUGGUCCGAGGAUGAAAGGCGCUUCGGCGUCGCCUGGGGAUGGCUUUGCGGUGCAUUAGCUAGUUGGUGGGGUAAUGGCCCACCAAGGCGACGAUGCAUGGCCGCCCUGAGAGGGUGAUCGGCCACACUGGGACUGAGAAACGGCCCAGACUCCUACGGGAGGCAGCAGUAGGGAAUCUUCCACAAUGGACGAAAGUCUGAUGGAGCAACGCCGCGUGAACGAUGAAGGCCUUCGGGUCGUAAAGUUCUGUUGUAAGGGAAGAACAAGUGCCGCAGGCAAUGGCGGCACCUUGACGGUACCUUGCGAGAAAGCCACGGCUAACUACGUGCCAGCCGCCGCCGUAA